rnacentral:tRNA from 1 species
GGGGUUGUGGUGUAGCUUGGUCAACAUGCGAGCCUCGGGCGCUCGUGACCGCCGGUUCAAAUCCGGCCGACCCCACCA